rnacentral:rRNA from 1 species
UACGAAGGGUGCAAACGUUGCUCGGAAUUAUUGGGCGUAAAGCGCACGUAGGCGGCUUUGCAAGUCGGAUGUGAAAUCCCUCGGCUUAACCAAGGAAGUGCAUCCGAAACUGCAGAGCUUGAGUACUUAAGAGGAUCGCGGAAUUCCCGGUGUAGAGGUGAAAUUCGUAGAUAUCAGGAAGAACACCAAUGGCGAAGGCAGCUCUCUGGGACGGUACUGACGCUGAGACGCGAAAGCGUGGGGAGCGAACAGG